rnacentral:lncRNA from 1 species
GGGAGCCACAAUUCUGUCCUUGAAUGAGAUGAAAUUCAGCAGUCUUAGUUAUGCUGAUUUUUAUUAUCUGGUCAGCCCAGGGUCUAGGUAAAAACUAGCUAAAUGGUCCAAAAAACAUGAUAUUUCACUAGUCCUAAAGUUUGCUUCCCUAUCACUUAAUGUGUAUGAGCCUGUUAGGAGGAAAUGGCUUUGUUGAUUCACGGUACUUUCAUUGUCACUCGGUCCUAAAUAAUUCACAAUGUCCAUUGUGAUUUCCUCAUCACCCUUGUGUUACUUCAGAUUGUGGCUUUUGUGUUUAUGGUGUGCUGUGUGCACACUGUGCAGUCAUUUGCAGCUAGAAUAGAUGUGCUAUACACAUCAUGUGGAAUUGCUCUACUUCACAACCUAAAAAGUGGUCAGUGUGUCAAGUGUUAAUUCUCUAUUGCAUUCUGGUUCCUAGCUCUGUGCUAAUUCAGGGUUUAUAGUUUAGUUGCUCUCGUCAUCUGAUCCCCAUUUUCCUGCUUUCUGCUGUCAAGACGGCACUUCUCCCUGGGGCUCCCUCAGCUUUGCAAGGCUAAUGUGUAGGUAUGAUGUUGCCUUUGGGUUGUGAUAGUGCUUGCUAGUGCAGUCACCUUGAACAGAUCAGCCUGGCGUAUCUUUGUGUGUGUCUUUAUUUUCAUUCUUCCUGUGUGGCUCUAAGAUAGUUCCCUUGUGAAGUGAUGUUAAGGUGAAUUUUUAUUUUUCAGUGCCAUUAAAUUACCUCUGGGCUCGUUUGGGGGAGCAGUACGAGUGGGUUUAGUCUGUUUCCUUUGGCUGUUGGGGCAUCCGCACUUUUCUGUUUCCCAUCUUUCUGUUAAAAUUGAUGGUUUCCUGUAUUCCUUUUGCUAAUUUGGGUAGCUUUAAAUUGGUGGUGACCCUUAAAUUUUAACACAAAUUAUUAACUAUAAAACUUUCAACAACCAUCUAUUGAACACCUGGCUCCUCCUCUCACUGCUGCCUGGACUCACUGCUGUGUGGUGGUUUUCAAAUUCGAUAGAGAACUGUGGGCAUUUGCAGAAACGGGCCAGGGGAGAAGCCACAGGAAGUGGAACCUGAAGAACUCCAGGUGGUUUUGGGGAUAGAGAAUGUACCCAGUGUGGGAAACAAGAGUGUCUGAAGAAAUGUUUUGAAUAAUUUCUUCCAUUCUCCACUGUCUUCUUUUUUUUUUUAAUUUUUAAUAUUUAUUUUUUAGUUUUCAG